rnacentral:rRNA from 1 species
CCUACGGGAGGCAGCAGUGAGGAAUAUUGGUCAAUGGGCGAGAGCCUGAACCAGCCAAGUCGCGUGAGGGAAGACGGUCCUAUGGAUUGUAAACCUCUUUUUUAUGGGAAUAAAAGGGUCCACGGGUGGGAUUUUGUAUGUACCAUAUGAAUAAGGAUCGGCUAACGCCGUGCCAGCAGCCGCGUUAAUACGGAGGAUCCGAGCGUUAUCCGGAUUUAUUGGGUUUAAAGGGAGCGUAGGUGGAGUUUUAAGUCAGUUGUGAAAGUUUGCGGCUCAACCGUAAAAUUGCAGUUGAAACUGGCAGUCUUGAGUACAGUAGAGGUGGGCGGAAUGCGUGGUGUAGCGGUGAAAUGCAUAGAUAUCACGAAGAACACCGAUUGCGAAGGCAGCUCACUGGACUGCAACUGACACUGAGGCUCGAAAGUGUGGGUAUCAAACAGGAUUAGAUACCCCAGUAGUC